rnacentral:rRNA from 1 species
UACAGAGGGUGCGAGCGUUAAUCGGAAUUACUGGGCGUAAAGCGCACGUAGGCGGCUUGGUAUGUCGGGUGUGAAAUCCCCGGGCUCAACCUGGGAACUGCAUCCGAAACUGCCUUGCUAGAGUAUGGGAGAGGGAAGUGGAAUUCCCGGUGUAGUGGUGGAAUGCGUAGAUAUCGGGAGGAACACCAGUGGCGAAGGCGGUUACCUGGAGCUUUGCUGACGCUGAUGCGCGAAAGCGUGGGGAGCGAUCCGG